GUAGAUUUGUAUUAUCUCUUUUAUUGCUAAGCAUUAUAAUUAUUUCUUUAACCAUUAUACAUAUUUAACUGACUAUUUGUGUUUUAGAUGGCAGUACUGCAGAUCACUGGAGGCAUGCUGAGACAUGAAUUAGCAUUUCUAUCACUAGGGAAAGUUACAACAUUUUCCGUUGAAAAUGGAAUAGAAGAUGGCAGUAUAUCAGAUCAAUCAAGGCACGCUGAGACACGAAUUCACAUUUCUACCACCAAGGAAAGAAUCAACAUGCUAUGUUGAAAAUGGACUAGAAGAUACUGAUAAUAAUAUUGGAUUUAUGCAAUGUGCGUGCAAUGGUUAUUGAAUAUAAUUGAUUCUAAAUUAAUAGCUGUGAAACAAUUGAGAUUUGUUAAAUAUCUGAAUAAAAUAAUAGUAAACACCUUUA